UAAAUGCGUGGCUACUUUCACAGAAGGUGA
rnacentral:piRNA from 1 species